rnacentral:rRNA from 2 species
UGGAUCCAGACUUUGAUCAUGGCUCAGGAUGAACGCUGGCUACAGGCUUAACACAUGCAAGUCGAGGGGAAACGACAUCGAAAGCUUGCUUUUGAUGGGCGUCGACCGGCGCACGGGUGAGUAACGUGUAUCCAACCUGCCCAUCACUUGGGAAUAACCUUGCGAAAGUAAGACUAAUACUCAAUGAUAUCCCACGAAGGCAUCCGAAUGGGAUUAAAGAUUUAUCGGUGAUGGAUGGGGAUGCGUCUGGUUAGCUUGUUGGCGGGGUAACGGCCCACCAAGGCAACGAUCAGUAGGGGUUCUGAGAGGAAGGUCCCCCACAUUGGAACUGAGACACGGUCCAAACUCCUACGGGAGGCAGCAGUGAGGAAUAUUGGUCAAUGGGCGAGAGCCUGAACCAGCCAAGUAGCGUGCAGGAAGACGGCCCUAUGGGUUGUAAACUGCUUUUAUAAGGGAAUAAAGUGAGUCUCGUGAGACUUUUUGCAUGUACCUUAUGAAUAAGGACCGGCUAAUUCCGUGCCAGCAGCCGCGGUAAUACGGAAGGUCCGGGCGUUAUCCGGAUUUAUUGGGUUUAAAGGGAGCGUAGGCCGGAGAUUAAGCGUGUUGUGAAAUGUAGAGGCUCAACCUCUGCACUGCAGCGCGAACUGGUCUUCUUGAGUACGCACAACGUGGGCGGAAUUCGUGGUGUAGCGGUGAAAUGCUUAGAUAUCACGAAGAACUCCGAUUGCGAAGGCAGCUCACGGGAGCGCAACUGACGCUGAAGCUCGAAAGUGCGGGUAUCGAACAGGAUUAGAUACCCUGGUAGUCCGCACGGUAAACGAUGGAUGCCCGCUGUUGGCCUGAAUAGGUCAGCGGCCAAGCGAGAGCAUUAAGCAUCCCACCUGGGGAGUACGCCGGCAACGGUGCAACUCAAAGGAAUUGACGGA